rnacentral:rRNA from 1 species
GACCUACCCCCAAGUCGCGAAUAACCAGCCGAAAGGAUGGCUAAUACGUGAUGUGAUGAUCCGCUGUGGCAGAUCAUUAAAGACUUGAUCGCUUGGGGAUGGGGUUGCGUUCCAUCAGCUAGUUGGUAAGGUAAAGGCUCACCAAGGCAACGACGGAUAGCCGGCCUGAGAGGGUGGCCGGCCACAGGGGCACUGAGACACGGGUCCCACUCCUACGGGAGGCAGCAGUUAGGAAUCUUCCACAAUGGGCGCAAGCCUGAUGGAGCGACGCCGCGUGAGGGAUGAAGGUUCUCGGAUCGUAAACCUCUGAACCAACGACGAAAGACCCGACAAGGGAGAUGACGGUAGUUGGGUAAUAGCACCGGCUAACUCCGUGCCAGCAGCCGCGGUAAUACGGAGGGUGCAAGCGUUACCCGGAAUCACUGGGCGUAAAGGGCGUGUGGGCGGUUACCUAAGU